GAUAAGACCCGCUGUCUGGCCCUGAGUAGGGUGUGACCUCCGCAGCCGCAGAGGAGGAGCGCAGCCCGGCCUCGUAAUUUCCCCUCUGCUUUUAUCACAGAAGAACUUCUGCUUGGGUGGCUGAACUCUGAUCUUGACCUAGAGUCAUGGCCAUGGCAACCAAAGGAGGUACUGUCAAAGCUGCUUCAGGAUUCAAUGCCAUGGAAGAUGCCCAGACCCUGAGGAAGGCCAUGAAAGGGCUCGGCACCGAUGAAGACGCCAUUAUUAGCGUCCUUGCCUACCGCAACACCGCCCAGCGCCAGGAGAUCAGGACAGCCUACAAGAGCACCAUCGGCAGGGACUUGAUAGACGACCUGAAGUCAGAACUGAGUGGCAACUUCGAGCAGGUGAUUGUGGGGAUGAUGACGCCCACGGUGCUGUAUGAUGUGCAGGAGCUGCGAAGGGCCAUGAAGGGAGCCGGCACUGAUGAGGGCUGCCUAAUUGAGAUCCUGGCCUCCCGGACCCCUGAGGAGAUCCGGCGCAUAAGCCAAACCUACCAGCAGC
rnacentral:sRNA from 1 species